rnacentral:rRNA from 1 species
CCUACGGGUGGCAGCAGUGGGGAAUAUUGCACAAUGGGGGCAACCCUGAUGCAGCAACGCCGCGUGAAGGAAGACGGCUUUCGGAUUGUAAACUUCUGUUCUUAGUGAAGAAUAAUGACGGUAGCUAAGGAGCAAGCCACGGCUAACUACGUACCAGCAGCCGCGGUAAUACGUAGGGGCCAAGCGUUUUCCGGAAUUACUGGGUGUAACGGGAGCGCAGGCGGGUAGCCAAGUCAGCUGUGAAAACUACGGGCUUAACUUGUAGAUUGCAGUUGAAACUGGUUUUCUGGAGUGAAGUAGAGGUAGGCGGAAUUCCUAGUGUAGCGGUGAAAUGCGUAGAUAUUAGGAGGAACACCGGUGGCGAAGGCGGCCAACUGGGCUGUAACUGACGCUGAGGCUCGAAAGUGUGGGGAGCAAACAGGAUUAGAUACCCUAGUAGUC